rnacentral:rRNA from 1 species
AUUGAACGCUGGCGGUAUGCUUAACACAUGCAAGUCGAACGGUAACAGGCCUAGCUUGCUAGGUGCUGACGAGUGGCGGACGGGUGAGUAACGCGUGGGAAUCUGCCUUAUUGUGGGGGAUAACCUGGGGAAACUCAGGCUAAUACCGCAUGAGCCCUAAGGGGGAAAGGAUGGGACCGAAAGGCCAUUCGCGAUAAGAUGAGCCUGCGUUGGAUUAGCUAGUUGGUGGGGUAAAGGCCUACCAAGGCGAGGAUCCAUAGCUGGUCUGAGAGGACGAUCAGCCACACUGGGACUGAGACACGGCCCAGACUCCUACGGGAGGCAGCAGUGAGGAAUAUUGGACAAUGGGCGAGAGCCUGAUCCAGCCAUGCCGCGUGCAGGAAGACGGCCCUAUGGGUUGUAAACUGCUUUUGUACGGGAAGAAACACCCCUCGUGAGGGGGCUUGACGGUACCGUAAGAAUAAGGAUCGGCUAACUCCGUGCCAGCAGCCGCGGU